rnacentral:rRNA from 1 species
AUGGAAUUGAGUUUGCCUCUUACGCUUCAUAUUUUUAAUAUCUUUCUUGAGAAUGAUGGAAAGGAAAACUGUGCUCAAUUGCUAGAAGAAGAAUGCAUUAAAAUGCUUGGCACUAAAUCUUUGUAUGAUGAGCAUGAUUGCAAUGUUGUUAGUAUGAAUUCCUUGAAUAUCCAUGAUGCUAAUGAUAUGCAAAGCCACAAGCUUGGGGAUGCUACGUUUGAUGAAGAUGAUGUGUUUAGUCCCCCAAGUUUUGAUGAGCAAAUUUAUUAUGAUGAAAGUAUGCCUCCUAUUUAUGAUGAUUAUAAUUAUGAAAGUGGAUUUGGAGAGGUCAUGACUUUAUUUAGUGAUGAAUCCACUAUUUCGGAAGAGGCUCCAAUUGAUUAUGAGAACAAAGUUGCUAUCUAUGAUGAUUAUUGUGAUGACAUAUAUGCUAUAAAGAACAAUGAUAACCAUGAAACUUGUCAUGUUGAUUUUAAUUUUCAAUUGGAUUAUGCUUCACAUGAUAGUUAUUUUGUUGAGUUUGCUCCCACUACUAUUGAUGAGAAUAAAUUUGCUUAUGUGGAGAGUAGAAAAAUUUCUAUGCAAGUAGAUCAUGAAAAGAAUGCUUUAUGUGCUGGCUAUAUUGUUGAAUUCAUUCAUGAUGCUACUGAAAAUUAUUAUGAGGGAGCAAUAUAUGCUUGUAGGAAUUGCAAUAAUACCAAGUUUCCUCUCUAUGUGCUUAAAGUUUUGAAGUUAUGCUUGUUUUGCCUUCCUAUGCUAGUUGAUUAUUGUUCCCAUAAGUUGUUUGCUCACAAAAUCCCUAUGCAUAGUAAGUGGGUUAGACUUAAAUGUGCUAGUCAUGUGCUUCAUGAUGCUCCCGUUAUGUUUCAAUUUUUCUCUUUUAUGUGA